CCUACGGGUGGCAGCAGUGGGGAAUAUUGCACAAUGGGGGAAACCCUGAUGCAGCAACGCCGCGUGAAGGAAGACGGUUUUCGGAUUGUAAACUUCUGUUCUCAGUGAAGAAUAAUGACGGUAGCUAAGGAGCAAGCCACGGCUAACCACGUGCCAGCAGCCGCGGUAAUACGCAGGUGGCAAGCGUUGUCCGGAAUUACUGGGUGUAAAGGGAGCGCAGGCGGGAAGCCAAGUCAGCUGUGAAAACUACGGGCUUAACUUGUGGACUGCAGUUGAAACUGGUUUUCGUGAGUGAAGUAGAGGUUAGGGGAAUUCCGGGUGUAGCGGGGAAAUGCGUAGAUAUUCGGAGGAACACCAGUGGCGAAGGCGACCAACUGGGCUUUAACUGACGCUGAGGCGCGAAAGUGUGGGGAGCAAACAGGAUUAGAUACCCGAGUAGUC
rnacentral:rRNA from 1 species